rnacentral:rRNA from 1 species
GAUUAUGGCUCAGAUUGAACGCUGGCGGCAGGCCUAAUACAUGCAAGUCGAACGGUAACAUAGGAAAAGCUUGCUUUUCUGAUGACGAGUGGCGACGGGGGGUGAGUAAAGUUGGGAAGCUACCUGAUAGAGGGGGACAACAGUUGGAAACGACUGCUAAUACCGCAUACAGCCUGAGGGUGAAAGCAGCAAUGCGCUAUCAGAUGCGCCCAAAUGGGAUUAGCUAGUAGGUGAGGUAAAGGCUUACCUAGGCGACGAUCUCUAGCUGGUCUGAGAGGAUGAUCAGCCACAUUGGGACUGAGACACGGCCCAGACUCCUACGGGAGGCAGCAGUAGGGAAUAUUGCACAAUGGAGGAAACUCUGAUGCAGCCAUGCCGCGUGUGUGAAGAAGGCCUUCGGGUUGUAAAGCACUUUCGGAGGGGAGGAGAAUGACGUUACCCUCAGAAGAAGCACCGGCUAACUCCGUGCCAGCCGCUGC